rnacentral:rRNA from 1 species
GACGUAGGGCGCGAGCGUUGUCCGGAUUUAUUGGGCGUAAAGAGCUCGUAGGCGGUUUGUCGCGUCGACUGUGAAAACCCGCAGCUCAACUGUGGGCCUGCAGCCGAUACGGGCGGGCUGGAGUUCGGUAGGGGAGACUGGAAUUCCUGGUGUAGCGGUGAAAUGCGCAGAUAUCAGGAGGAACACCGGUGGCGAAGGCGGCAUCCUGGACCGAGAUUGACGCUGAGGCGCGAAAGCCAGGGGAGCAAACGGG